rnacentral:lncRNA from 14 species
AUGACAUACAUCAGUUUUGAUGAGAGACAGGAACACUGCCGGGUUAUCUUGAGCUGCCAAAAUAAUCGGCUCUAUGCGCAACAUGGCUUAAAGGAUUUUUCAGUUGACAGCAUGCAUCCACUAAAGAACCUAGACGCUCAUAUUUUUUCUGGGGACUUCCACACUCUAGACUGCUGCCACACAGGCAAGGCUCCUUUGGCCAGUCCUGUGGAAAACCGGAUGUAUCGGAGUGUGGAGAACCUUCAGUGGGCAACAGCUGCUGACUCUGGACUCUAUUCUCACUGCCGAAGCCUGGAUAAUGAGAUCAUCUUUCGCUACAGAGGCACCAGUCAGUGGACAGAAGGUUGUGUGGAUGUGGCCCCAGCGCAGAGCCCAUCAGGCUCUCUGAGGAACCUUUCUCUCCGUGCUAAACAGACAUCUCGAUCAGCACAGAACGUGCUCCUCGCUCCCUUUGCCAAAGUGCCUCAGUGGCUCUUCCCUUCUGCAGAGGAAAGAGCCCUACAUGGGGAUGCCAAAAAGGAGCUGAAGGAGAAGCUGAGGCUGCACAACAGUAAGGUGGCAGAGCCCUGCAAGCCAGUGCAUCCAGAAGUGGCCCUGCCUGACUUGAUGGCCCGGGAGUUUUUUGCAUGCCAGGUGUGCAAGAAUGGUUGUGCUGUCAACUGCUGCACAGUUUUGGUGGAACACACUGCUCUCAGGCACAGCCUUGCAGGGAGGCAGAGACUGUGUUUUGCACACAGGACUGUCAGUCCCGAAGACAUCAAGCAGGAGGCUCAGAGGAGGCUUCAGCUCCGAAGGCAGAACAGCUCCCCCACUUUGCCCCUUCAGUAUGCCAGGGAAACCCAUGAGAUGGCCAAAUCCAGAACAGCAGAAACCAUAGAACAAUGUAGUAAGGAAACAGAUGUCAAAGCUACACUGGGACAGAGCAAGAAAGGCCUCUGCAAAGGGAGGCUUUACAUACCCACCUUUGAGGAAUUCAAACAAAUGAGAAGUAAAGUGGCAAAUUCAUCUGCCAGCAGCAGUGGG